rnacentral:lncRNA from 1 species
AAUUGUAUUAAAUGAUAAUUAUUUAUAUGAUUAUGAAGAAUUGUUUUAUUUCAUCUAUAAAAUAAAGUCUAUUCAAUCCAUUUUUUUAAAUAAUAAUAAAUAUGAGGAUAAUAAUAAUUUAAUAGACAUUGUUUAUAAUAUAUGUGUCGAGGAUAAUUACAAAAAGAAUAAACAAGUAAAGAAUCCAACAAAUAAGGAACAAUUCGAUACAUAUAAGGUAGUGUCUGAUGGGUUGCUUCAACAUGAACACCUAUGUAGUAACCCACAAACAGACAAAUUCGAACUCAUUAAUACACAUUUCAAACAUUUAAAAGAAUUUUUAUUUAAUAAUAAUAAAAUAAAAAAAUAUGAAACACUAAGAGACUUAUUUUAUAUUUUAUAUGACAUCGAAAUAUUAAAAAUACAAAAUAAAAAAAAUAAUAAUUAUAAUGAAAAAAAAAACUUAAGGUACAUAUUUAUAGCUAUCUUACCAAAAUUAAAAGUUCUAAAUCAUAGCUGUGUAAAUAAAGCAGAAAGAAUAAAUUUAGAACGUUUUUUUAUAUCAGCAUAUAAUAGGGAUCCCAUAGCCAAAAUAUUCAACCAAGUCGUCUUAAAUCGGACGCAUAGUAGUAGACUAGAAAAAAUACAUUACGAAGCAAUGCAAUAUGAAAAGGACACUGAGAAAAAAAACUGCAUGCAAAGUAACCUCAUUAAUAUUACAAUCAUUCCUGAAUUCAUAAAUUCAAAAAAAUUAAAUAUUAUAAAAAAAAAAGUUAAUAGAAACAUGAACAUAAAAGAUUUAAAAUAUUUAUGUUCAAGACUGUAUUCAAUUCCGAUACCUAAAAUACAGUUGUUUUAUACGGACGAGGUAAAAUGGAAGCCACAAAAAAAAAAAAACAGAAAAAAAAAAAAAAAACGCGAUGCAAAAUUUAUAGUCAUACAUACAAAUUUACAAGCAUUUGCAAAUAUAAACAAAACAAAAAAUAAUAUUAGGCGUAUCAUGUCAUAGAACAUAUGUAUUUAAAUUAUGUUUUAC